CUUCCGUCCCCUUCCUUCUGCAGUUCACGUUCCUGCUGCCAGCUUCAGAAGGUCAGAAGCCAUCGUGGUGGUUAAACUUUGCCGGUGGAAACGUCACUCAGGAGGAGAGUCACGUGACCGGCGGCGACUGUGUUGGACCCGAGAACCAAGGGCUGGUCUGGUAAGCUCAUGCUGAGCUGCCUGCAUGAGAAGACCACCCUCUUUGUUCCUGAUGUUCUCUCUGUCUCGAGGGGCUCACACUCCACACCCCCGGUGCACGAGAGCUCGACCCCUGACCUCCCCACACCGUGCCUGGGUGGAAGAUGUGAAGAUGGCUUCCCGGUCCAGCCAGCCGUAGGCACAGCUGGCUCAGCCCAGGAAGGCAUGUGGUGUCCCUCAAAGAAGAGAGAAAGAAAGAAAAAGAUGGACCACGUGCUGGGUAUACAUGUACGCCACUACAACCCUGGCGCCCAGUGGCAGGCUGAGGCAGAGGCCAGGGAUCUUGGCCGGGCUGGGGACAGGGCACCAUCUGUGAAACGCCACUGCAUCAGCAAUAGGACCCGAGUCCCAGCGCUCAGCUCAAAGCUGGGCACUGUGUGCAUACCUAGUCCCAGCAUGGAGGCCGAGGAGGAGGCAGAGGAAGGAGGGCACGGGGGGCUGGAUGGCCAUCCCAGCUGACGAGCUCCAGGUUACACAGCCACAGAGAGGAGAGGAGGACACCUGGCCCCCACACGGGCUUGUGCGCCGGCCCGCAUGAAGAUGUCCUUGUACACCACACAGUGCACACACAAAGCAACAGCAGGAGGGCACCAGGUACAUGCUCCGGCACACAGGCCUCGGGAGACAGGAGCAGGCCGUGGUGGACAGGUGAUUGGCGGGGUCUGCCCAUUCUGUACCUGACUCCAGCUGUGGUGCGUGGCUGACGUAAGAGACUAGAGCGGGAGCACCCCGGAUGGGCUAUGUCUCCUCUCUGAGCCUUCUCUCACCACAGCUGACUUUAUGACCUGCCCUGACCAUGGGCAACACGAUGAUGCGAAAGGCAGGGCAGGCGUGGGAACCCUGGAGAUUCUCUGCCACGCUGUCUGCUCACGCGGCUCCCAGCUCCACUUCUGUCUUCUCUCUUUGGCCAGAGAUGCCUUCCUGAAGAGGCAGAACAAAAGAAGUGUGACUGCCUUCGGGUGGACGAUGGGCUCGGAGGCCCUGCCUGGGGUAGGCGUGAGCCGGGCAGGUGGCCAUAGGUCACAGCGAGAAGACCCGACACGGAAGUGUGCACCAAACAGGCAGUGACAGACACACCCCUUCACGUGAGAGCCCCUCCCCCU